rnacentral:rRNA from 1 species
UACGUUCCCGGGCCUUGUACACACCGCCCGUCACACCACGAAAGUCGGCAAUACCCGAAGCCGGUGGCCUAACCCUUUUGGGAGGGAGCCGUCGAAGGUAGGGUCGAUGAUUGGGGUG